ACAAUAGACUGCAGGUUAUGUAUCUGGUAUUGUAUAUUUCUAUAAUUAUUAUCACUAUCAUCGCUAGCAUAGCUGUAUUUUAGCUAGUUAACAUUAACAUUGCUAGCUAUUAUUGACUAACUUUGCUAGUAACUGUAAUGGCAACAUUGCCAUCUCUCUAAAGUAAAUUUGACGACAUAAUAAUAACGACCUACUUUAGCAAAGUCAUCGUAUAUCCAGGCCUCUCUAAAUUAAUGUAAUUUAGAUGAAACAGUCACAUUAGCCUCCGAGGUGCAACCCAUGUCUAGGGCACAAAUAAAUAUUGUGUGCAGCUAUGGUGUGUACUAGCUAAGUCAUCUCUGACUACAACAGAGUACUAACUAGCAGCAACAAACUCAACCCAACCCAGGGCCUACCAGAAGGAACAAAGCUUGCCAGGCAAUACCUUACAAAAAAGUGUGUCAUGCGACACAAGUACCCUUGUGACACCACCGCCGUUGUUGCCAGAGUCUCCCUCGACUCCUAUGAAAAGGACACGCCAUCAUGAUGCCUCUGAUAGUGACCCAAGUUAAUGCCCUGAGGACACAGACAGCUUCAUCAUCAACGACAGGCCCUCCCAGUCAACACCACCUCAUAAGAUUGCAUGCAGCAGGUGUUCAAGAGAUGCCCAGGUUGCAGCCGAACAUGCAGCAUUGAGAAGACCAGCAAGUAAGCCCUCAUCAGCAUCAUGCUGACAGGCCCUCCCUUUGAACAUUCCUAUGAAUGGAACAGUCAGCCACAUGUUGGCAAGUAUCUGGCCAGCAACAGCUUUCACAGGCUCAUCAUCAAAUACAGAAGGUAACCCACUUAAAUACUUUGAUAAUCCAAAUGGGAAACAUUAUUUAUGUAAACUGACAUUAUUUGUUGCUUAUUUUCUACUUCUUAAGAGGCAUAUAAUGUCCAGGGCAUAACCUAGUCUGGUGGAACCAGCCUGAUCGCUGUGUUCCCCAUUCUAUUUGACUUCACAUUUUAUGGCAAAGACCUCACCUCCAGCCUCACCUCUUGCCUGCACUCCAACGGUCGUUGAUGGGGAGAACAGAAUUAGAUGCAUGAGAUGCAGAAAGACCUGGCACUCAACACAUCCAAAAUGAGAUGGACUGGAAAUGCUUUGGCCAGAUGCCAGCCUCAGUCGUUUGAUGGGGAGACCAUAAUUGGAAACAUGAAUGGAGCCAGCACAUUAAUACUUGCAAGAUGAUGUGAUGAAGUCCAGACUGACACACGGGCUUGGUACUGAU